UACGGGGAGGGCAAGCGUUGUCCGGAAUCAUUGGGCGUAAAGAGCGUGUAGGCGGCCAGAAAAGUCCGCUGUGAAAACUCGAGGCUCAACUUCGAGCUGUCGGUGGAAACUUCCUGGCUAGAGUCCGGAAGAGGAGAAUGGAAUUCCUGGUGUAGCGGUGAAAUGCGCAGAUAUCAGGAAGAACACCCGUGGCGAAGGCGGCUCUCUGGGACGGUACUGACGCUGAGACGCGAAAGCGUGGGGAGCGAACAGG
rnacentral:rRNA from 1 species